rnacentral:rRNA from 1 species
GACGAACGCUGGCGGCGUGCUUAACACAUGCAAGUCGAACGGAAAGGCCCUGCUUGCAGGGUACUCGAGUGGCGAACGGGUGAGUAACACGUGGGUGAUCUGCCCUGCACUUCGGGAUAAGCCUGGGAAACUGGGUCUAAUACCGGAUAGGAGCCAUUUUUAGUGUGAUGGUUGGAAAGUUUUUUCGGUGUAGGAUGAGCUCGCGGCCUAUCAGCUUGUUGGUGGGGUAAUGGCCUACCAAGGCGGCGACGGGUAGCCGGCCUGAGAGGGUGGACGGCCACAAUUGGACCUAGAGACCGCCCAGACGCCCUCCGGGAGCAACAGUAGGGAAUAUUGCACAAUGGGCGCAAGCCUGAUGCAGCGACGCCGCGUGGGGGAUGACGGCCUUCGGGUUGUAAACUCCUUUCGCUAGGGACGAAGCUUUUUGUGACGGUACCUAGAUAAGAAGCACCGGCUAACUACGUG